rnacentral:rRNA from 1 species
GAUGAACGCUGGCGGCGUGCCUAAUACAUGCAAGUCGAGCGAACAGACGAGGAGCUUGCUCCUCUGACGUUAGCGGCGGACGGGUGAGUAACACGUGGAUAACCUACCUAUAAGACUGGGAUAACUUCGGGAAACCGGAGCUAAUACCGGAGAAUAUAUUGAACCACAUGGUUCAAUAGUGAAAGACGGUUUUGCUGUCACUUAUAGAUGGAUCCGCGCCGCAUUAGCUAGUUGGUAAGGUAACGGCUUACCAAGGCAACGAUGCGUAGCCGACCUGAGAGGGUGAUCGGCCACACUGGAACUGAGACACGGUCCAGACUCCUACGGGAGGCAGCAGUAGGGAAUCUUCCGCAAUGGGCGAAAGCUUGACGGAGCAACGCCGCGUGAGUGAUGAAGGUCUUCGGAUCGUAAAACUCUGUUAUUAGGGAAGAACAAAUGUGUAAGUAACUAUGCACGUCUUGACGGUACCUAAUCAGAAAGCCACGGCUAACUACGUG